UUCCAAAAAAAAAAAAAAGUUAGAUUAAUGCCACUUAGCCGAUGGCCAUAUAUUAAGACUCCCAUUAAGAAUUAAAUUUUAUUGGAGUGGCAUGGAAGUCUCCAAAUCAUGUUUGUAUGCAAUGCAAACUCCUUCACAGUAAAAGAGGUGCCAGCUUACUCUCCUAUAUACAUAUAAACCUAUUUGUGUUGAUUCAAACUAUUCUUUUGUUUCUACAAACACUUCUUUCUCAACCUCAAGGUCAUCAUAUGAGUCAUGGGCAAAUUGAAAAAUCCUUUCUCAAAGUCUAAUUUCUCGAUUUUCAACCGAUCAAACCAAGAAUCGAUCAGGAAUCAACAACUGUAAUUGAAGCAAGAAUCGGGGUGGAAUCAAAGCAUGCAAAAACUUCAUUUCUUGAGCUGAACUUGGGUUCACAGUCUUGAACAAAAUUAAGAGAAUUAAACUAUAUAUGACAAGAUUUACAUUGUUCAUAGUUUGCCAACAUUUCAAAUAUGAACCUAAUAAAUAUUUUUCAUUUCAAAA